GAGUGGCGAACGGGUGAGUAACACGUGAUGACUGCCCCUGACUUCGGGAUAAGCCCGGGAAACUGGGUCUAAUACCGGAUACGACCCGCUCUCGCAUGAGGGUGGGUGGAAAGUUUUUUCGGUUGGGGAUGGGCUCGCGGCCUAUCAGUUUGUUGGUGAGGUAAUGGCUCACCGAGACGACGACGGGUAGCCGGCCUGAGAGGGCGACCGGCCACACUGGGACUGAGACACGGCCCAGACUCCUACGGGAGGCAGCAGUGGGGAAUAUUGCACAAUGGGGGAAACCCUGAUGCAGCGACGCACGUGCGGGAUGACGGCCUUCGGGUUGUAACCGUUUCACAGGGAAAAACCUCACGGUGACGGUACCUGCAGAAGAAGUACCGGGUUAACUACGUGCCAGCAGCCGGCGGUAAUACGUAGGGUACGAGCGUUGGUCCNGGAAUUAUGGGGCGUAAGGAGUUCCGUUAAAGGUUGGGUUGGGCUUCCNCCCGUUUCUGGCUGUGGGAAAACGCAAGAGCCUUUUAACCGGUUUUGCGACCCCCUNUGCACACGUGGGGNGUUACACNGGGGCCUGGACACUUAUACAAAUUGCGCAAAAGG
rnacentral:rRNA from 1 species